rnacentral:rRNA from 1 species
CAGUAGCCGCGGGAAUACGGAGGGGGCUAGCGUUGUUCGGAAUUACUGGGCGUAAAGCGCACGUAGGCGGCUUGGUAAGUUAGAGGUGAAAGCCCGGAGCUCAACUCCGGAAUUGCCUUUAAGACUGCCGAGCUAGUAGGUGAGAGAGGUAAGUGGAAUUCCGAGUGUAGAGGUGAAAUUCGUAGAUAUUCGGAAGAACACCAGUGGCGAAGGCGGCUUACUGGCUCAUUCUAGACGCUGAGGUGCGAAAGCGUGGGGAGCAUACAGGAUUAGAUACCCCAGUAGUCCCUGUCUCUUAUAC